rnacentral:lncRNA from 1 species
UGAAGCUGAAAAGUUUGUAGAGUUGUUCCUGUGCUACCGUUGUCACAGUUUCGCAGGAUUUUGCCGUUGGCGUCAAACGCUGGAUCUGACGUUAUGUGUAGCUGAAUACGACGUUACGCGUAUGGAUAAAUGACCAUACCUGACAAGCUAGGGUAACUGGGUUGGAGAAACCAGAAUGAGAAAUUGCCGAUCGGUGUUUCUACUUUUCUCAACAAAAGCUCGUGUAUCUCAGCGUGCCCAGGGCCUUUUGUGCACACAGUUAACGUACAGUAUAUAUGCAAUAAUUCUGUAAAGUUACGGCUCGGCAUGCAGAAUUGCUAUGUUCUGUCCUGAUUCUGUCGCUCAACUCGACUUGUAAAUUCAGUUUGUUGGACAUAAACACAAGCAAGUAGUAUAAUAUAGUACAACCAAGUACUCCCUCCGUAAACUAAUAUAAGAGCAUUUAGAUCAUUACUUUAGUGAUCUAAACGCUCUUAUAUUAGUUUACAGAGGGAGUACUACAUUACUAAUGCUUCUCUAAAUAAACUUCGUCAUAAGGAAUCUUUCAUAAUACAUGAUUCUUUUGAAGAAAAGGCAGGCACUCUGCCAUUCAGUUUGAUGAAAAAAAAACA